rnacentral:rRNA from 1 species
AGGGUUUGAUUCUGGCUCAGGACGAACGCUGGCGGCGUGCCUAAUACAUGCAAGUGGAACGCAUUGGUAACACCGGACUUGCUCCAGUGUUACUAAUGAGUCGCGAACGGGUGAGUAACGCGUAGGUAACCUGCCUGAUAGCGGGGGAUAACUAUUGGAAACGAUAGCUAAUACCGCAUAAGAGGAGUUAACUCAUGUUAACUGUUUAAAAGAAGCAACGGCUUCACUAUCAGAUGGACCUGCGUUGUAUUAGCUAGUAGGUAGGGUAACGGCCUACCUAGGCAACGAUACAUAGCCGACCUGAGAGGGUGAACGGCCACACUGGGACUGAGACACGGCCCAG